GUAGUACUCCCUCCGUUCCAAAUUACUUUUCUUGAAUUUGUCUAGAUACGGAUGUAUCUAGACUCAUUUUAGUGCUAGAUACAUCCGUAUCUAGACAAAUCUAAGACAAAUAAUUCGGAACGGAGGGAGUACUUU
rfam:Triticum aestivum genome assembly, contig: Triticum_aestivum_CS42_TGACv1_scaffold_592027_7BS